rnacentral:lncRNA from 1 species
CGCUCCUCGAGAGGAGGCAGGCGACGAAGAUACGGACCCACAUUCUUUCAGGGCGGCGAGACCCCUGCAGCACCCGCCCGGAGUAGGAAGGGACUGAAGAUCUGAAGCUGAUGGUGACUGGGUCUGUCUAGACGCAGCUCGGUAAAAGAGAUGGAUGGAGACGAGAGAGUGGCCGAGGGACAGGCCCGCGGGGAAGCCAGGGGAAGAGCCGAGAAGGACGUGGUCUCAAGGGCUGGGGCGGUGCCCAUGAGCCUGGCGGAUCUCUGCUGCGACCCUUCCGGGCCGCGGUCUGCACUGACUCCUUCACUCCUCUGGUGCUCCCCACCAGCUGCGGUGAUUUAUGGCUGGGCCAGGCCUGACGACCUUGGACGGAUAACUAAUGACAGACACCUCAUUUGCCUAGGGGUCCCGUUUGCCUGCGAGGCAGGGUGGGGGACAUCCCCACUUCUGCCUGUGUCAUCUGGGGACCUCUGAGAACAGACUGCUGCCUCCUCCUCUUGGUUCUGCCAACUUCUUGGUCCUUGUUUGAGAUGCCCUGAUUCCUGGUCUCCAUUAGAACCCUGGGAGAGCUUUAUUCCCGAGAUGGCUGCCUCACUGGUACCGAUUGUGCUCACUGUGCAAGGCUCUGCACUGCCAGAGGUCACCCAUGUGUGUGAGUCCUAGGACAGACCCUGCUGGAGGUUUCUGGGUGACUUCAAACUGCUGAGUUUAACCAAAUGGGGAUGGAGACUGGAGUCGACCAAAGCUACAAGUAAACUGACCUCUACUCCUCGGACUGAAGCCACAGGAACUGGGUACCUGCAUGCCUCAUUCCACCUGUUUAGAAUACAUUUGAGACUAGCCUGUAGGCCUGCACUAAUCCAGAUGGGCCUGCCUCAGAUCCAGACGGUAUUACUGUCUAACUCAAAAGGGAGAGGCUAAGACAAUCAACACUACCAAGGCCUAAUCAUUUUCAGUAUUCUCCACUUCAGUCAAAUGCUAAACAAGUACAUCAUCUCCAGCCUCAGGAAGACAGCCUUCUCCCCAGCUUUGGAUCACUAAAAAUAAAUGUUUUUUUCUUACAGAAUGAUUUAGGAGUCUCAAUGUCAUUUCCAGUUCGAAAACAAGCUAUGAGGGCCAGACUUUAUUACUUGUCAACAGAGUUCCAGACAGUCUCUGUCUCUAAAGUUAGGACAAAUCAGAAAGAAUUUAGCCAAGGGACAAGUGUAAAAGGGUUCCUUCCCAUCCAUAAUUCACAUCCACUUUCCAAAUGUAUUUCAAGGGAAAGGAUGUUCCCAGCAGCAGCACCGACAUGUAAGUGUGUGCACACACAAACUUGUGCAGCAAGGCACGUUGGCCUUGUCCAGACAUCACCACUGUGACAGAGGUCACAUUCUCCAGCAGGGUACCCUGUGCACAUGCUUCUCUGCCUAAGAAGAAUCUCAGCUCUCUGUAGGAGAGGCCUUUUGAGCUGUACACUGGAAAAGCAGAUGAGAGAGAGAGAGAGAGAGAGAGAGAGACCGACGACCGACCGAACAUGGGAACACUCAGAGCCACAGGACACCUGCAGCUUCUUGCCUACUAUUCCUUUAAAUGCGUUGAGAUGUUCUUUGUUUCUCUUUUCUUUUUAAAAAGGUCAAACUUUACAUUCAUUCUCGCCCAGUUGGGGAUUGGUGAUAAUCAAUUCCCACUGAAAUCAUGCAGAGACGGUAAGUGGGGUUUACCUUCUCUGGAAAUGAACUUCUACUUACCUGAUUGUUUCUUCUACAAUGAACUGGUAAAUGACCCCCAGAGCUGAGAAAUGUGAUUCAAGUUUCUCAGACCACUUAACUUCAUUCCCAUUUCCAGCAGCAGUAGAGAGGACAACCUGGAGAAAAAGCUUAACCGCGCUAACGGCUUCAAUGGGCAGGGUCCACCAGAGCCCAAGGACAAUGGGUGGCCACACUUCCCAACUGGCUUCAGAGCAGCACACCUUCGGCUAACCUUGGGAAGGGGAGCAGUCCUGGCACCGCCUGUCUGCAGUAGUACACACACCGCCCCAACCCCGGCGUCCAGCCCCGCAGGGCCUCCAGACACAGGCAGGUGCUCUCCUGCACCUACUUUCUCAGCAGCCCAUAACUGAAGGGCUGGUCAAGGCGAGGCCACUAGACCAUUUCUUGAAGCAGCUUAGGUCUCUUUACAUCUGACUUGUUUUUCAGCAAAGUCCUUCACUAUUAACAGUCAACAGAACGGACAAGGAGCUCAGAGUGGCUAAACCAGAUGACUCUGCAGCAUGUGGUAGUCGGGAAAGGAGAAACAGCAUACACACGCGACCUGACUCAGCAUUCACUCAGGACAUACUGGGCAAGGGGCAACUUGCAAGCCAGAGAAUGAAGAUGCCUUCUUCUCCCUCUCCUGGUGAAGUGAAGGUGGCCUGGCUGUAGGUCACUUGUAACUGGCCCCCAUUUCUACUUUCAUAGCAGCUGGUUCAGUUGGCUUUCUUAAACUCAAAUGCAUGGUUAGGAACAGCAAUGAGAGCCUGACUGCUUGGUUUCCAAGGGAAAAGUGAGGCUGUUCCAUGGCCGCGGGUCCAAGUGUGCCUAAACCACCCUUUGGCAUGCCCAGCAUGCUGGGGGGGGGUGUGAGUUGGUUCUCCGUUCAAGUGCUCCUAGGCUUGCCCACGAACCUCUGCAUCUGGAACCUGCUGGCAGAGGCCCAGUGCUGCCUUCCAUGAGGCCAGGUUAGCCCUGCCCGCCCUUGAGGAAGUCCAGUCGCUUAUGUUUUCACGGACAGCCAGUUUCCUGGCUGGGGAAAGUGGACAGCAAAAUAAGGCAGGGGGAAGGAAAGGAAGAGAAGGCAGUUCCCACUUACUAGUAACCCUGUGUGCCGCAAUUCACCCUGAUCCCCGUGGCAGCCUUGCCUUUCUGCAAACAUUAAACACUAGGUUUGGGAGAAGCAGAAGGAAGGGUCUGCAGUGCAAGGCUGAGACGUUAGACUGACAGGCCGGCUGCUUUUCUCCCGGCCAUCUCUUAAGCUGCUGUGCUCACAGUCUGGGCAGUUAUGGGUGCCCGGGUGCUUUCCGGCUCAGUCAAGGAAACAGAUGGGAGCCACGGUACAGAGUGCAGUGGUGCCUGGUGAUGGCCAUUCCAAGCCUUUCUGCAGGCCCAGCCUUGCCAGUGAUUUAAGAUGAAGCACAAUGCUUUUUAUUACACAUCUAAUUGUUAAUGAGAGGAAAUGCAAUCAGCGGCUCCUUUCCACUCUACAUGGAACCGAGGAGACUGCUGAGUCCAGAGCAGACACAACCACUGAUGGUGCCCAGGACAUUCCUGUCCCUCCCCCUGGACACAGGGAAGGAUGAGAGAGAAAGCUGCAAAUAUGAGUGUCAUGUUCAUGAAUCCACUGCUGCCCUGGGGGUCGUUUGCAGCAAAAGCCUGGGCUGGAAAUGACAAUACACUCAAACUCUUCCAAGUGUCACAUUUUUUAGGUGAUCCACCUCAUGCUAGAUGAGGACAUUGCACACACCUUCUCAGGUUGAAGAUGGAGUAGGGGAGGAGGGAAGAGGGACAGAAACCCAGACAGGGGAGGAGGCAGCAGGUGCAGAUCUUCCAGUGUGUGUCCCUCUCUUCUAAGGGUAUGCAAGCAGGCAGCUGUCUCCUUCCAUGCAGUGGCCUGGACUGCUCUGGCCAGGCUCUAGUUACUCCUGCAGUUAACAGGGAGAGGCCAGGCAUUCUCUGCCUGGAAGUUGCAGCCCCUGUCCCCUAGAAGUAGGCCAGAUGGGGAAGCUAGUUCUUCUGCUUAAUGGCAAAGCAAGAGAGAUUCUGGCAAAACACUAAAUAUAUUUAUAAGUCAUCUUUGUCUGGAACCCAAUGGGAGAGAAACAGGUGCAGAGGGAGGGGGUAGGGAACAGGAGGGGAGGCUUAAAAGUUCCAAUCAUUCACACAAGAUAAAGACAUCUUCUGAUAGCAGCACUGAAGCAGCCGGCUGUGCCGAGCAGACCGUCCUGGUCAGCUGCUGACCGACUGUCCCAACAGGAGUCUCAAAGCCCUGCUCCUCGCUGAUCCAUCCGGGGAAUCCGGGUAGGAGUGUGAUUGUUGUUCAUCCUGGUCUUGGCAGAUAUGUUAAAUACUGCAACAUUAACGAGUCCUGUGUGGAAACACAGCCAGCAGUCAUUAGCCCCUUUCCCUGUACUUUCCACUUGCUCUAAGACAGAAGGUUUGUGUGGCUGUCAAUGAGAACGACUUGGGGGUCCUUCCCAAGAGCUGCUCCCUGCACAGUGCUUCUAUCACAGUUUUCUUGGGGGCUUACACAAAGGACAGGGUUUAGUGGUGUGCUCAGGAUACAGGGUCCUAAGAUUAAGAGUGAAUAAUGGCUGGGACAGUGCCAUGCUUCCCUGCUCCCUGGAAUACCAGAGGGGGCAGGAAUGACUCUGGGGGCCCUGUUUGACUGUCCUGAAGCACAGUGGUGUCUCUGUUAAGAAGGGUGCACAGGCAGGAAGCUGUCUGGGGCCUGUCUGGCUUAAGGAACCGUCCAUGGAGACAAUGAAAGUGCUCCUGGUCCCUUCAAGGUGGGUGUGGCUGGACAUGUGGCUGGGAGAUUAAGACAGAGGGUGAUUCUGGAGAUAAAAAAUUGCCAGCCAUCUAUGUUGAAGUGAGAGCUAAAGUCAUGGGAAAAGAUAAGAUAGCCCAAGAAGAGAGCCUAGAGGAGUUAAAAAUGACUGAGCCAGAUUCUCAGGGGAUGUCUCUUUCCGCAGUGAGAGGAGAAAAGACAUAAAGUUAGGGAGAAUAAAAACAGUGAGGGCUACGAGCACAUUGCCAUGGUUAAGCAUGUGUUUA